rfam:Ciona savignyi cont_31990, whole genome shotgun sequence.
GCCUCGACAGCUCAGUCGGGAGAGCUUUAGACUGAAGAUCUAAAGGUCCCUGGUUCAAUCCCGGGUCGAGGCA